AACUCGGGUGGCUAGCGGAAAGCACCCACGUGGCAGUAGGGCUCUGGUGGCUUUUGGCAGAAAGAUUUAUCGUAACAGGAACCAGUAUUUAUUCCUAGUGCAUGAAUGGGCUUUGGGGGCCCACAACCUAUGGAGGGAGACUCUCUCAGCCUAGAUACACGGGGGAGGGCCUAGGUCCUGCCCCAAAUGAUGUGACAGACUUCGAUGAUCCCCCAUGGAAGGCCCUCACCCUCCCUGGGGAGUGGAUUGGGGAUGGGAUGGAGGGUUGGUGGGGGGCAUGGGAGGACAGGAGGAAGAGGGAACUGGGGUUAGUAUGUAAAAUAAGAUUGUUUUUAUUUUAUUUAUAUAUAUUGGUGGAAAUACCGAAGAAGUGGGUUAUAGGCAGGUGGAGUACCCUCAAAUAUAUACCUUGGAUUCUGUCUGAUAGCAUUCUUUGCUCUUUGAGUACUAGAGGAUAGGGGUUUGUUAAGUUGAUAUAUUUCAGGGCUGGGCAUGGUGGUGCACACCUUUAAUCACGGUAUCUAAAAUUCUGAAGCAGACAGAUCUCUCUGAAUUUUAAGCCAGCCUGGUUCACAUAGUGAGCUUCAAGUCAGCCAAGGCAGUCUCAGAAAACAAACAAAUAAACAAAGUUAAUAUAUUUCAAAGGCAUUAAUGAUCUGACACAGAGGUGGGCAAGGGAGGACUAUUGGGCCAGAGAUAGCCCAAAAUAAAUUGUAAAUAGGCUCUGAACCGCAACAUUCAAAAUUCUCCACAGUCACUGAAAUUGACAGUUACAUUACAGGAAUUCUUGUUCAAUUCCCCCCUGUUGACUUAGCAUCACACUUAUGCAGGUGGGCAGGGAAGGGGUAAACACAUAUUACUUAUUAAAUAUUAUAACGUCCCACAUCGCUAGGAAGGAUCUUUCCUAGGACCUGAUGUAGAUGAUUCUGAGUAGUAGGCAAGAUGGCAGUCUUCAGGAGAGAUGGUAACUGGUGAAGACAUCGAGAAGGAACUCCUUGAUCAUAUCAGGACCUGGUUCUGACUUUUAAAAAAUGUGUCCUCUGUAUUUGACACAGCUUUACAUUUGACAUAUAAGGGGAUUAUUAUACUUAAAAUUAAAAUAUUUAAGAACACUGUUUUGCCUAAUGAAAUGAAAGCAACAGAUGAAGGAAAUAGAUAUCCUACCCAGCCGGGGAGAAAAAUCCCUCACCUCGGUCUUAAUAUUCCUUAAUAUUCCUUAAGUAGAUACAUCUCCUAUGAUGUCGACAGUCAUUUGUACCAUAAGGAGCAUUUUAUUUUAUUUUAUUUUUGCAGCACUUGCAAUAGUUCAUUGCCCUUUAAUUCUAGUCUGUCUUCUUGCUGGAUUGAUUCCAUAAUACCCUUAUUAUAAUAUUUUAUCAUCUGUUAUUGAUGUUUUAAUAUAUUGGCACUGUACUAGAUUUAGUUGGGAAAGGCAAAUGGGAAGUCACAUUACAGAAAAAUUAGAUAACAAUAUAGAUUUUUUAAACCUUUAAAAAUUAAGAUUGUCUUUUUCAUGUAACAAAUUAUCAGUAACAGUGAUAAAAACAAGAGGUAAGAGCUGUUGGACAUCAGAAUGUUAUGGUCCUUCCUGGCAUAACCAAGUCCUUCAUUUUAUUAGCAGUUAGAAAUCGAAAUAGGACUGUAGUAUUGUCCUUUUAUUUUUAUUAGCUAAAUCCAAUCAUUAACUAGUCUUUUAUUAAGUCUCAGCUAAUUGUGCUAUAGGACAAUUGUAUAUUAGACAAUGUAGAUUUUAAUUUAAGAAAUAUCAGUACUUAAGGCACAAAACAUCAGGGAUGCUGUUAAUAGACAUUUUGAAGAGUUAACCCCAAAUCUCUGUGUACUUGUAGUAAGAGAAAAUGCAAUUAAAGCUCAAUUGGAAAACCGGAUUUAAAAAAGUCCAAAAUAUAUGGACUAAUGGGAAAUGUAUUUUAAAAAUCAAGACAGUGAGAAUAGUUGACUCUUUUCAAUAUGAAAACUAGAUUUGACAAAGAUGGGAGUUUAGGCUAAACAAUCAUAAUAAAAAUCAUGGUUAAUAAAAUGUGGUUAAUAUUGUCCUUUAUAACUUUAUUAAAACCCAAAUUAGCAUUAUUUUAUCACUUAGAACCAAGCAAAAUAGCAAAUAUCAUAAAUGUCACAAAUAUCAACAUUCAAAUUAUAAAGCAUUUAGGAAACAUGAAAACUGAGAGAAAUGUUUGGGUUCUCAGUUGUUAAUGGUAUUGAAGACCCAGCAUUUCUGAAGGUCACAUGUGUAGGGGAAGCUGUAGCCACACCUACUUAGGGGCUGGCUACAGGUGUGUCUGACCAUGCCUGCAAGGUCGUGGUCAGGGUGACAUAGAGUGAGAGGUGGUCAGGUGGCUGGGCACUUUCGAUUUCAUUUUUUGGCUUGCUAUACAGACUGCUGCCGCGCCAGCUGGCUAGGUCGCUCUGUAAGUAAGGCUUUUCCCUAUUAAAUACCCUUGUAUUUCUACCUGACUUCAUAUUGGUAAUUUCCCACUUUACACAGGAUUGUGUUCUUAGACAAAUUUGGCGUAUGUUUCAUGUGGGGCAGUUUACUACUUGAGUUUGUAGUCUGAGUGGUUCAGAAGAAGGGAGUCUUUGAUAUGAUGUCCUUUUUGUUCUUAAUCGAUACAAUCAUAUGAUUUUUCUUUAUCCGAAAAGGGAAUAAGACAUAGUUUAUUCUAAAGCCAAACAUGAAAGAACAUGACCUAGGAAUACAAAUUUAGGAUACCCUAAAUUCUGGAAUGUGGAAGUAGUUGGGUUUUAUUUUUUCUCUGAUAUUUUAUCUUUCUGUUUUAAAAAUGUAGGUACUUAUAGCUUAUUAAAAUCAUGGGACUGAUUUUAACGUGCCCUAGAGAUUUUGUUUUGUUGUGUUUUAAUUUUUGUUUAAUUCUGGGAUUUUCUUUUUAUUUAUUUCUUGGUCUCUUUCUUGAGUUGUUUAAUCUGCACAAGUUUGUAUAAUUACUGUCCAUGAGUUUGUAUAAUUACUAUAUUGUCAGAUAGGAUAUAUGAAGUCAUUGCAGUUUUUCUGAAUUAACUAAGUUUUUUUUUUUUUUCCAAGUGUGUGGUCUAUUUUAGAGAAACUUCCAUUAGCUGCUGAAGAGUCUACAACGAAAAGAAUGAGAAGGACAAAAGGAAAUUUAGACCAUAUUCACUGAAGUGAAAAAGAGCACCAGGACAUUUAAUGCUGGAGCCAAGGCUUGUGCUAAAGGAGGAUUCUGGCUUUAGAGCAGUGACAGACACACCAGGAGUGAGGUUGUGGAAUCUUCCUCUGUGAUUAAGAAAGAUGCUGAAGCCAGGCAUGAGGCAGUGGGGCUCUUGCAUGGAGUCUCUGAGAGGUCAAUCAGUGAAGCUGUGAAAGUGAAGCCUGGGUCGUCUUGGAGACCUCAAAUGUUGGACAUGCCAGAACCAUGGGAUACCUGCCAAGGAGAGCUGCACACAGGGAGUGGAACCAGCUCAAGGGACAGAAGCAUAUUACAGUCAACAAUGCAGGAGAGGUGGAGUCAUCUAAGCCCCCUGACAUUGGAAAUGGAGUUACAGGUUUUGGAGUUUGCCCUGUGGGGGUUUGGUCUUGCUUUGGUGCAGUAUUUCUUCAUUUUGCCCCCAUUCCUACAUUUUGGAAUGAUCAUGGAAAGUUUUCCAAAAUACUUUAUUUCCUAGAUGUGGUGAUUUGAAUUGGUAUGGCCCCUACAGACUCGUGUGUUUGAAUGUGUGGCCAUAGGAAGCAGCACUAUUAGGAGGUGUGGCCUUGUUAGAAGAAGUGUGUCACUGUGGAGGCGGACUUUGUGGUCUUAAAUAUGCUCAUGCUAUGCCAGUGACACAGUUGCUUCUGCUACUUGGUGUGAGACCCCGGGAAGCUCAGGCCUCCAGAAUCUUUUCCCAGGACUGCAGCCACCCCAAUCAUCACGAGGAGGCGGAAACUUGAUGCAAACAGCAAGAGGCUUUAAUGAAAGAUGCUGGCUAAUUACCACCAGAUGGCUUGGCCUCAGUGGAGAAUGUUUUCUAGUUUGCAUAACAACAGACCUAGGCCCUGGGUGUACCCACACCUAUUCUAAGGACUUGUUUACAUGCCUAGGGGCUGUUUAGGGUUGUCUCUAGGAUUAAAGGAGGCAAUUGAUAUCAGCUUUGUACAUGAGAGUCUUCUGCUGUCACCUCCACUGUUGGAAAGCUAUUUAAGAGGAUGCUUGAAUAAACCAUGGACUCCAGACUCCAGGAUGGACUGAGAACCCUACUGAAAUGACAA